GGCACUACGGUGCUGAAGCAACAAAUGCCCUGCUUCCAGGAAAAGCCUCUAAGCAUCAGGUAACAUCAAAUCGUACCCCAAACCGACACAGGUGGUCAGGUAGAGAAUACCAAGGCGCUUGAGAGAACUCGGGUGAAGGAACUAGGCAAAAUGGUGCCGUAACUUCGGGAGAAGGCACGCUGAUAUGUAGGUGAAGUCCCUCGCGGAUGGAGCUGAAAUCAGUCGAAGAUACCAGCUGGCUGCAACUGUUUAUUAAAAACACAGCACUGUGCAAACACGAAAGUGGACGUAUACGGUGUGACGCCUGCCCGGUGCCGGAAGGUUAAUUGAUGGGGUUAGCGCAAGCGAAGCUCUUGAUCGAAGCCCCGGUAAACGGC
rnacentral:rRNA from 1 species